AAACAGAAAUGUAGAAUGACAGUCGCUCAAUCUGUUGCAAGCAAUGACUUUCAAACAGCAAGUGCUAAAGAAGCCAAACACGCAGAAUUACAAGUCCAACGCUGAAACUGCUGGAAAAGAACAGUGAAAAAGAUACAGGUCUUCAUUCUUGAUGGGAUUCAGAAACUGAACUACUGUGUCUUCACAGACAAAUAAUCCAAAAUCAGCCUAAGAGUGUGGAGUAAACAGCAUCAAGCCUCUCUUUAAUAGGGAACUCAUCUAUAAAAACAAACACUUGUUAUACUUUUAUGAAUUAUCAAGUUGUACAACACACAGCAAUAAGGAUUUAGACAAACAAUCACAGAUUUUAUUAAUUUUAUUGUUGUGUCUAAUAUAUAUAGAAACAACUUGUGUUGUAAAAGAAAGGAUGACAGCAUAUCUCUUUAUCACGUGCCAGUAUAGGCCCUGACUGCACGUGAGAACGUUUGAAUUAUCUGGCACGAGGCCUCACACGUCAUACUUCAACUGACACAACGGUCUCGAUGGUAGGAAUAAGCAAAAGCUCCUUUAAAUUUCGUCAUUUUUUUUAUACACAUCCCGUUUAUUUUGUAGUUAAUUGUUAGAUAAGUUAGUAAUUUCGUAAAUUUUUCGUUACAGGGUAAGAUUUCGUUACCAUAUACAGUAAAUAUUGGUUCAAGAGGGCAGAUAACUCAGUCGAGGUUUGUAAAUGGUAAAUAACUUAUUCGAGGGGUUUCUGUUCCUGCAGUCUUUCAGGGGUGCUGGCGCGUAUGACGAUGCGGACAUGAACAGCAUACUACAGUAUACCGCCACCUACUGUACUGUAGUACAAUAACGUGUAGGAUUGAAUACUGUGCCAAACGCAGUAAAAAAAAAUAGCCAUUUAAUUCAUUGUAAAAACAAUGGACAUGCCAGUUCAAGUAACUUGUGGGCUAAAUCACCAAAAUAAGUUUGUAGAUGUGGUUCAAUUAUUUUUAAUGUGCAGCAUAAUGAAUCAGCCUGAAUGCAUGUAGCCUAUGAACAUAUUGUUUAGACUUUAUUUUUAAACCUUUAUCUGGUGUAUGGUUAAACCUUAUGAUGGUAGCAAUUGAAUACAAAUCUUAAACUGAAUCAAAUCUCUUAUAAUAAUACAUAAAAUCUCUGGGACGGUUGGGGGUACAUCAGGGUAACAUUUAAGCAGCUUAAUUUUUUUAAUUCUUUUAUAUAUUUUGAUGUGUAUAUAUAUAUAUUUACUUUCUUUAUUUUGUUUUCUCAGCUUUUAAACAUCUAAACAUGUCCUCCAAAAAGGUUUCCUGUGCUGUUUUGCUCCAUUUUACUGAACAAAAUAAGGCUGAGGUAGCACCAUCCUUGUGGUUAGAGUGAAAGAAUGUGGGUAUUGAGACCAAAAUAAACAAUGUGCCAUUCUGGACAAACAGCUGUGGACAAUAUGCAGUCAGAGUAGCCCAUUUUCUCACACAGACCUGAAGAUAAGAUUUCCAGUUUAAAAGUGAAGAAAAUGAAUCAUUAUUAACAGCAAAUAGGAGUAUUUCUCAGCUGAAAAGCCAGGUGAAACUAUAAGGUCACUAUGAUUCACUUUCAUAUUAUCAUUCUUUUCAGAUUUUUUUCCCUGUGUUUUUUUUGUUAGAUGAGGAGCAACCAGUAAGAAAAAGCAAAAAGAUGUUUUGAUGUUGCCUGAGGCACCUUAUUUUCCAUUUCAUGCACAAUCACAAAUGCAGCACAUCAAUCAAUUUCUUCCAACCAGCGAAUCAAGAAAUCUUGGAGUGGAGAAUCAUUCUGAAAGUAGACCAAAUCCAGGACAACAUCACAACAGUGGUCGGAAAAAUGCAGCAAGCCAAGCUGACUUUCAAAAGAUGAUUCGUUAUCUGUUUCUUCAGAGGGGAGGCAGUUUGGGAGAUGGGAAUUAGGAGGAUGCUACAGUUACACAGGGCAAAUUUCAGCAGCUCAGUUUCAAACUUGCAACUAACAUUGAGUUAAAGUUAGAAGACCACGGAAAUAUUUGACAUCGGAGUCCAGCAGACAGCCAGAGACACGCACACACACGCAGCUGAAGCGCGUUUGACUGACGCGUACGGGAGAUCCGGCACGCGCACGGGAGCUCGCGCACGCUCACACAAACACGGAGCACAGGAUAAUUACAACUGUUUAAUUAAAAUAAAAGAACUUUGUGGUAUACAAUGUUUAGCGUGUCUGAUUUCAUUGGUUAGCAAGGAAAUAAAACGACGUGCUGAGGACUUUAGGCGAACGUCCCCUAAAAGUCCCGAAAGUCCGCUGACCGUCCCGCGAACGUCCUCGCAAAAGUCCGGAGGACGUCCUCGCGGAAGUCCGCUCGACGUAACGGGAACCAU